rnacentral:rRNA from 1 species
CGCAAGCCUGACGGAGCAACGCCGCGUGAGGGAGGAAGGCUCUUGGGUUGUAAACCUCUUUUCUCAGGGAAGAAGCUCUGACGGUACCUGAGGAAUCAGCCUCGGCUAACUCCGUGCCAGCAGCCGCGGUAAGACGGAGGAGGCAAGCGUUAUCCGGAAUUAUUGGGCGUAAAGCGUCCGCAGGCGGUUAUUUAAGUCUGCUGUUAAAGCCCACAGCUCAACUGUGGAUCGGCAGUGGAAACUGAAUAACUUGAGAGCGGUAGGGGUAGAGGGAAUUCCCGGUGUAGCGGUGAAGUGCGUAGAUAUCGGGAAGAACACCAGUGGCGAAGGCGCUCUACUGGGCCGUGACUGACACUGAGGGACGAAAGCUAGGGGAGCG